AGGAGGAUGGUCUAGGGGUUAUGACGCUUGCCUCACACGCAAGAGGUCACGGGUUCGAUUCCCGUUCUUCCUA
rfam:Cryptosporidium parvum Iowa II chromosome 1, whole genome shotgun sequence.